AUGCACACAGAAUGCUUCAGCACAGGUACUGACCAAGACCAGACGGAGAGCACAAACUACACCGGUUUUAAAGUCUCUGCACUGGUUCCCUCUCUCUUGGGCCUCGGCCACACUGGACUGCCUGCUGAGUGGCUACUUCCCCCAGGAGGCGAUGGUGAGCUGGGGGUGAGCUGGGAGGUGGACAGGGCGGAGGUGAAGGAGGGGGUCCUGACCACCACAGAAGAAGAGAAGGGUGGUCGCUACAGCCGUAGCAACACCCUGACCCUGAGCAAGGCACGCUGGGAAGAGGGAGAGAUGUACACCUGCAGGGUCGACCAUGACGACACCAGUUAUUCGGCUCCCUUCCGGAGAAGUCAUUGUAGUGUCUGGAGACUGGAGAGGCAAUUGUAG